GAUGAACGCUAGCUACAGGCUUAACACAUGCAAGUCGAGGGGAAACGCCAUCGAAAGCUUGCUUUUGAUGGGCGUCGACCGGCGCACGGGUGAGUAACGCGUAUCCAACCUGCCCAUCACUUGGGAAUAACCUUGCGAAAGUAAGACUAAUACCCAAUGAUAUCCCACGAAGGCAUCGGAAUGGGAUUAAAGAUUUAUCGGUGAUGGAUGGGGAUGCGUCUGAUUAGCUUGUUGGCGGGGUAACGGCCCACCAAGGCAACGAUCAGUAGGGGUUCUGAGAGGAAGGUCCCCCACAUUGGAACUGAGACACGGUCCAAACUCCUACGGGAGGCAGCAGUGAGGAAUAUUGGUCAAUGGGCGAGAGCCUGAACCAGCCAAGUAGCGUGCAGGAAGACGGCCCUAUGGGUUGUAAACUGCUUUUAUAAGGGAAUAAAGUGGGUCACGUGUGACUUUUUGCAUGUACCUUAUGAAUAAGAACCGGCUAAUUCCGUG
rnacentral:rRNA from 1 species